rnacentral:other from 1 species
GCAGUUCUGGAAUUUUUGUGAAAGAACUAUAUCCUAGUGGCCUUAAGUUCUUGAACGGGAGCCGGCUCUGCGUAAGAUCGUGGUCUUGUGUAACUGGUGCCCACCUGGUUUACCAGGCUCUCAAGGAUUAGACCUCUUCACGGAGUAUCCGGUUCUGCC